rnacentral:lncRNA from 1 species
AAGAAAUUUAGACUUAAAUAUCUACAUAUAGUCCAAAUUAUAGAAGAAUUAAAUAUUAAAGCAAAGAGAAAUCUUUGUUGAAAGAUCAACAUUCAAAUUGGAAAAAGAGGGCAAUUAAUAACCAAGUGGUUUUGAAAGAUUUUCUUUUCAUUGGUAUAUUCAAUCUUCUUCAAAUUAUUUGUGCUUGUUGCUUAUUUAGUUAUUGCAAGGUAUACAAAUUUUGAGUCAAAAUCAACAAAUUAAUCAUUAAUUAUUGAAUUUUAAAUCUACAAAUAGAUUAUUAAGAAUUGUUUAAGAUUUAGGAUUUGAUUAAAGAUUUAUUAGGAUUGAUUAAAGUUCUAAGGUUUGGUUAAGAUUUACUUAGGAUUUAAUUAA